AGAAAGUAUGUUUAAUUAUUUUAGACUUGCAUGACCAAGUCUUCUGUGCCAAAGGAGGGGAUCAUUUUUUAUAGCACUUAGACAGGUCAUCUCAGAUCCUGGUAAUGCCAUAAUAUCGGCUUUGUAUACAUUUCUGUAUCUCUUUGCAGUGAGCACCACUUCUUUGGUGUCCAUCCUUUUGACUUUAACCCUUGCAGCAGUAAAAAUAACUUUAUUACCUUUGUCACACAACUGUGAAGUACUCAGCAGGUUGUGCUUUAGUCCCUCAACAAGAUAGA
rnacentral:lncRNA from 1 species